GAUAAGUACCAGAUUGUAUUUUCCAUUUAUAUUAAGUAGGUGUUCCUCUAUUGGCUUUUAUUCCUUCAGGGUACAUUAAUUAUCACAUAUUUAUCAAGACUGCUUAGCAAAUAUUUAAAUGAACCCUCCUCCAAAUUAUUUUUAUGAUACAAUGUAUGUCUUGCAAUUUAUACAGCUCUCAAAAAAAAAAAAAAAAGGAAGAAGGAAUGUAAAUGUGGCUAAACUAUCUUACAGGAAGCAAUAUAUAAAACUUCCAACUACCAGAACAUUGAAGCACAAAUAAUGGAUCUCUGAUGUGGGUAUCGUGGUUUAACCCCCCAGUUGAAACCAGAUCAGUGGUGAAGGUUAAAAGGGAAAAAACUACAGUAACAGCACAUUGCUGAUCCUGAGGGAAAAUCAUGAACCCAGAGUAGUGUGGCAGAAGUUUCAGCAAUCACUUUUCCAAAUACGUGAAUAUUUUCUUUUCUUUUUUUUUCUCUACAAAGUGUGUUCAGAAUUGUAGAAUAUUUAGUAGAAAAUUUCUGAUAAGCAGAGAAGUUGGGGUUGAUGCUGGACCCCUUGGAAUUUUUGUGGUUUUUUUUUUUUUCCACUUUCUGGCUUUCGUUUUGACAUAAACAUCCUGAUACUGUUAUUGCACAAACAAGUUUUUCUGCAUUAAAUAUUUAAGCUACUGUCGAAGUCCACCCAGUCACAGUUUCUGAGUGUAUUUUUGUAAGAUGGAGCAACU